rnacentral:lncRNA from 1 species
CCCAGGGCGGGGUGGGGUCGAGGGUGUUGCGAGCUGCAGGAAGUCGCGGACCGGGAAAACUGGGAAGCGCGAGAUCUGCAGAGACCGGAGGCAAAUAUAAUAUUGGCGCGCUCGCGGGUUCUGUGCAGACCAGGAAGUGGGACGCUUCACCCCCAGCUACCCUCUGGGAUCAGGGCCCUGACAAAUGCCAUCUCCUUGAACUCUAGGAAACCUGGCGCUGAAAGUGGAUAGCCUGAUGGCAAGGGUCUUCCGAGGCAGCCACUCUCUGCAGGCUCCGGCCACUAAGUGACUGCUGUCCUUGGCCCAUUAGGAACCCAAGAGGACAGGCGAGGGCUCCCUUCCUCCCCGAUCCUCGACGCCGCGUACCAGCUUCCCGAGUGCGCGCUGGAACGCAGGCAGGCCCUGCGCUCCUCUCUCCCCUCUGCGCCCUGGUGGUGGUGGGCUUCCGGCCACACUUCUCGCAGGGCAGGCACCCUGAAAGGGCACCCCGCAAGCUUGCCCAGGCCCGCUCUUCUCCGAAGUCCUAUAGUUCCACUGGGCAGCAGAAGGAGGCGGACAGCCUACUCCUGCCCCUCGGCCGGACGACCCGCGGCUGCCGCGCCCAGCACCUCUGCACCUGCCUGGCUGAGAGCUGCUUACAAAAUAUUCAGCAGGAACCUGUGUGGUGAAAUCUGGGCAGAACCGUCAAGUCUAAAAGCACCUGGGACAGGCAUGAGACUAUCAGAAUCACAAUCGUUUCGGGCCUUUUCGGGGCAGAUUAACGUUUUGUCAGAGACCCCCAAAUUC